rnacentral:rRNA from 1 species
CGACUCCACGAAGUUGGAUUCGCUAGUAAUCGCGCAUCAGCCAUGGCGCGGUGAAUACGUUCCCGGGCCUUGUACACACCGCCCGUCAAGCCAUGGGAGCCGGGGGCGCCUGAAGUCCGGGACCGCGAGGACCGGCCUAGGGCGAAACUGGUGACUGGGGCUAAGUCGUAACAAGGUAAC